rnacentral:rRNA from 1 species
UCAGGACGAACGCUGGCGGCGUGCUUAACACAUGCAAGUCGAGCGGUAAGGCCCUUCGGGGUACACGAGCGGCGAACGGGUGAGUAACACGUGGGUGAUCUGCCUCGCACUCUGGGAUAAGCCUGGGAAACUGGGUCUAAUACCGGAUAUGACCACCGGUCGCAUGGUUGGUGGUGGAAAGAUUUAUCGGUGCGAGAUGGGCCCGCGGCCUAUCAGCUUGUUGGUGGGGUAAUGGCCUACCAAGGCGACGACGGGUAGCCGGCCUGAGAGGGCGACCGGCCACACUGGGACUGAGACACGGCCCAGACUCCUACGGGAGGCAGCAGUGGGGAAUAUUGCACAAUGGGCGAAAGCCUGAUGCAGCGACGCCGCGUGAGGGAUGACGGCCUUCGGGUUGUAAACCUCUUUCGACAGGGACGAAGCGCAAGUGACGGUACCUGUAGAAGAAGCACCGGCCAACUACGUGCCAGCAGCCGCGGUAAUACGUAGGGUGCGAGCGUUGUCCGGAAUUACUGGGCGUAAAGAGCUUGUAGGCGGUUCGUCGCGUCGAUCGUGAAAACGUGCAGCUCAACUGCACGCUUGCGGUCGAUACGGGCGGACUAGAGUACUGCAGGGGAGACUGGAAUUCCUGGUGUAGCGGUGAAAUGCGCAGAUAUCAGGAGGAACACCGGUGGCGAAGGCGGGUCUCUGGGCAGUAACUGACGCUGAGAAGCGAAAGCGUGGGUAGCGAACAGGAUUAGAUACCCUGGUAGUCCACGCCGUAAACGGUGGGCGCUAGGUGUGGGUUUCCUUCCACGGGAUCCGUGCCGUAGCUAACGCAUUAAGCGCCCCGCCUGGGG